UCGUUAGCUUGCCACCUAACAUGAUUCUCAAAUUUCACCGUUUCCAAAUUGAAAUUUCAGCCGCGCUGGGCUUCGAUACUCACCUAGUACGGCACAAAGAGUAAAUCCGUCGUUCUUCUUCGCGUGGAGUUUAAGAAGCAGACCAACCGUUCAAACACGGAAGAGUGGCGGCUGACCCCUGCUGGUCAACUACGCAACUACAGCUACCCUCCACCCGUAAAAUCAUAAUAUUCUAAUUUUCUGA